rnacentral:rRNA from 1 species
GCGGACGGGUGAGUAAUGUCUGGGAAACUGCCUGAUGGAGGGGGAUAACUACUGGAAACGGUAGCUAAUACCGCAUAACGUCGCAAGACCAAAGAGGGGGACCUUCGGGCCUCUUGCCAUCGGAUGUGCCCAGAUGGGAUUAGCUUGUGGUGGGGUAACGGCUCACCAGGCGACGAUCCCUAGCUGGUCUGAGAGGAUGACCAGCCACACUGGAACUGAGACACGGUCCAGACUCCUACGGGAGGCAGCAGUGGGGAAUAUUGCACAAUGGGCGCAAGCCUGAUGCAGCCAUGCCGCGUGUAUGAAGAAGGCCUUCGGGUUGUAAAGUACUUUCAGCGGGGAGGAAGGGAGUAAAGUUAAUACCUUUGCUCAUUGACGUUACCCGCAGAAGAAGCACCGGCUAACUCCGUGCCAGCAGCCGCGGUAAUACGGAGGGUGCAAGCGUUAAUCGGAAUUACUGGGCGUAAAGCGCACGCAGGCGGUUUGUUAAGUCAGAUGUGAAAUCCCCGGGCUCAACCUGGGAACUGCAUCUGAUACUGGCAAGCUUGAGUCUCGUAGAGGGGGGUAGAAUUCCAGGUGUAGCGGUGAAAUGCGUAGAGAUCUGGAGGAAUACCGGUGGCGAAGGCGGCCCCCUGACGAAGA